rnacentral:rRNA from 1 species
AUUGAACGCUGGCGGCAUGCCUUACACAUGCAAGUCGAACGGUAACAGGUCUUCGGAUGCUGACGAGUGGCGAACGGGUGAGUAAUACGUCGGAACGUGCCCGAUCGUGGGGGAUAACGCAGCGAAAGCUGUGCUAAUACCGCAUACGAUCUACGGAUGAAAGCGGGGGAUCGCAAGACCUCGCGCGGACGGAGCGGCCGAUGGCAGAUUAGGUAGUUGGUGGGGUAAAGGCUCACCAAGCCUGCGAUCUGUAGCUGGUCUGAGAGGACGACCAGCCACACUGGGACUGAGACACGGCCCAGACUCCUACGGGAGGCAGCAGUGGGGAAUUUUGGACAAUGGGCGCAAGCCUGAUCCAGCCAUGCCGCGUGCAGGAUGAAGGCCUUCGGGUUGUAAACUGCUUUUGUACGGAACGAAAAGGUUCUUUCUAAUAAAGAGAGCUCAUGACGGUACCGUAAGAAUAAGCACCGGCUAACUACGUGCCAGCAGCCGCCGUAACAC